rnacentral:rRNA from 1 species
UACGUAGGCAGCGAGCGUUGUUCGGAGUUACUGGGCGUAAAGGGCGUGCAGGUGGUCUGUUAAGUCUGGCGUGAAAGCUCCUGGCUAAACCGGGAGAGGUCGUUGGAUACUGGCGGACUAGAGGACGGUAGAGGCGUGUGGAAUUCCGGGUGUAGUGGUGAAAUGCGUAGAGAUCCGGAGGAACACCAGUGGCGAAGGCGACACGCUGGGCCGUACCUGACACUGAUACGCGACAGCAUGGGGAGCGAACGGG